rnacentral:rRNA from 1 species
GGAUUAGUGGCGAACGGGUGAGUAACACGUGAGUAACCUGCCCUUGACUCUGGGAUAAGCCUGGGAAACUGGGUCUAAUACCGGAUAUGACCUUCCAUCGCAUGGUGGUUGGUGGAAAGCUUUUGUGGUUUUGGAUGGACUCGCGGCCUAUCAGCUUGUUGGUGGGGUAAUGGCCUACCAAGGCGACGACGGGUAGCCGGCCUGAGAGGGUGACCGGCCACACUGGGACUGAGACACGGCCCAGACUCCUACGGGAGGCAGCAGUGGGGAAUAUUGCACAAUGGGCGCAAGCCUGAUGCAGCGACGCCGCGUGAGGGAUGACGGCCUUCGGGUUGUAAACCUCUUUCAGUAGGGAAGAAGCGUAAGUGACGGUACCUGCAGAAGAAGCGCCGGCUAACUACGUGCCAGCAGCCGCGGUAAUACGUAGGGCGCAAGCGUUAUCCGGAAUUAUUGGGCGUAAAGAGCUCGUAGGCGGUUUGUCGCGUCUGCCGUGAAAGUCCGGGGCUCAACUCCGGAUCUGCGGUGGGUACGGGCAGACUAGAGUGAUGUAGGGGAGACUGGAAUUCCUGGUGUAGCGGUGAAAUGCGCAGAUAUCAGGAGGAACACCGAUGGCGAAGGCAGGUCUCUGGGCAUUAACUGACGCUGAGGAGCGAAAGCAUGGGGAGCGAACAGGAUUAGAUACCCUGGUAGUCCAUGCCGUAAACGUUGGGCACUAGGUGUGGGGGACAUUCCACGUUUUCCGCGCCGUAGCUAACGCAUUAAGUGCCCCGCCUGGGGAGUACGGCCGCAAGGCUAAAACUCAAAGGAAUUGACGGGGGCCCGCACAAGCGGCGGAGCAUGCGGAUUAAUUCGAUGCAACGCGAAGAACCUUACCAAGGCUUGACAUGAACCGGAAAGAUCUGGAAACAGGUCCCCCACUUGUGGUCGGUUUACAGGUGGUGCAUGGUUGUCGUCAGCUCGUGUCGUGAGAUGUUGGGUUAAGUCCCGCAACGAGCGCAACCCUCGUUCUAUGUUGCCAGCACGUGAUGGUGGGGACUCAUAGGAGACUGCCGGGGUCAACUCGGAGGAAGGUGGGGACGACGUCAAAUCAUCAUGCCCCUUAUGUCUUGGGCUUCACGCAUGCUACAAUGGCCGGUACAAAGGGUUGCGAUACUGUGAGGUGGAGCUAAUCCCAAAAAGCCGGUCUCAGUUCGGAUUGGGGUCUGCAACUCGACCCCAUGAAGUCGGAGUCGCUAGUAAUCGCAGAUCAGCAACGCUGCGGUGAAUACGUUCCCGGGCCUUGUACACACCGCCCGUCAAGUCACGAAAGUUGGUAACACCCGAAGCCGGU